rnacentral:rRNA from 1 species
AUUGAACGCUGGCGGCAUGCUUUACACAUGCAAGUCGAACGGCAGCGCGGGCUUCGGCCUGGCGGCGAGUGGCGAACGGGUGAGUAAUACAUCGGAACGUGCCCAGUAGUGGGGGAUAGCUCGGCGAAAGCCGGAUUAAUACCGCAUACGACCUGAGGGUGAAAGCGGGGGAUCUUCGGACCUCGCGCUAUUGGAGCGGCCGAUGGCAGAUUAGCUAGUUGGUGGGGUAAAGGCCUACCAAGGCGACGAUCUGUAGCUGGUCUGAGAGGACGACCAGCCACACUGGGACUGAGACACGGCCCAGACUCCUACGGGAGGCAGCAGUGGGGAAUUUUGGACAAUGGGCGAAAGCCUGAUCCAGCAAUGCCGCGUGUGUGAUGAAGGCCUUCGGGUUGUAAAGCACUUUUGGCGGGAACGAAAAGGACUGUGCCAAUACCACGGUUCGAGGACGGUACCCGCAGAAUAAGCACCGGCUAACUACGG